UUUUUUUUUUUUUUUUUGGACGGUUAUUUAUGUUUUUACUAUAUUUAAAUAGUAAAGAAGCCAAAGUUCUAGUUAAAGCAUUAUACCAUAAGACAAAAGCAAAUUAUCUCCAUGUAACUUAUCUAUGUAACUUUCUAAGUAGACCUGUCCUCUGUGGCUGUAAUGAUAAAUCUCAUUAUUUAAUAUGUGACAAAUAAAUGUGGCUAUCAUAGGUGGACAUACUGAUAAACAGAGACGUAUGCCAUGGGGCCUCCUUAAAAGAUAAGCUGCAUUUUUUGCACCUUGAAGUGCCGACAGACAGACAUAAUGUUUCUGGAUGAGGUGUAGUUGUAUCUAUCAGGAUUUCAUAUUUACAAAGAGAAACCCUUUAAUCUUUUCAAUGAUGUUUCAUUCGAGAUACUUCACUGACCUUUGGAUAUCCCAAGACAGUACAUAAUAAGUUCAUGACCUAUUAAGUAUGCAAGAAGUCUUGUAUCUCAGUUAUGUUUACCAGUCCCAACCCUGCCCUUCUUCUAUGUAAUAUACUGUGUAAUAAAUAUUAUUUGAUGAUGACAGUUUUAGAUGCUCCAAACUUUCCCACCCAACUUAGAGUCAAAAGAGUAAAUUAAAAACUGCUUGGGGAGUUCCCAUUGUGGUUCAGUGGAAAUGAAUCUGACUAGUAUCUAUGAGGAUGUGGGUUUUAUCACUGGCCUUGCUCAGUGAGUCAGGGAUCUGGCAUUGCUGUAGCUAUGGUAUAGGCCAGCAGCUAGAGCUACGAUUUGACCCCUAGCCGGGGAACUUCCAUAUGCCAGGAGUGUGGCCCUAAAAAGCAAAACAGCAAUAACAACAAAAAACUGCCUGACCUCAGAUUUGCAGUGUGAAAUAAUGCCUAUUUCAUGUUCAAAGCUCUGGAGAAACAGCAUGUCAAAUGGGUAUAUUUAUUAGUUUCAAAAUUUCACUUUUUUCCCUCUGGACACUGUUAUUAUUAAUUAUGCUCCAUGAGAACCUAGGUACAAGGCCCUGACAACUCGCUGAUAGUUGCAGUUUAUAUUGAGGUUCAAAGGCUACUCUGGAUGUUAGUCAUCUGGUGAUGUAGUGAAAAUAGUCACUGAUGGGAAAGCCAAAGAGCAUAACCUAGGGACAUGAAGAGUCCUGAUACUUGGUCUUGGUGGAAGGCCAGCAGGCUCCAAGUCCAGAGAUGGGGCAUGAUGACACAACUCAUUGUGGGACUUGGCAUAAACCUGGCUGUGCUUCAUUUUCACUCAGAGAAAAUGAGAGAAAGGAAUCUUCCUCCCCAUAUGUUGUAAAUGAGACACACGUAUUUUAAAUACUUUAAGAUUUCCAUAUGCAAGUAGCUCUAUUUAUUAUUAUUAUUAUUUAUUUAUUUUUUUGUCUUUUUGCCUUUUCUAGGGCUGCACUGGCGGCACAUGGAGGUUCCCAGAAAAGACAAAAAGACAAAAUAAAAAAAAAAAAGGAGCACUCAUCUGAGAGGUGUCAUUGAUUUACAAUUGUUGUGCAUGGCUAUUAACUCAAUGGCUUUUUAAGGAUUUACAUGCAAACGUAUCGAGAUGAUUCUUCAUGCAUGCUAAUACUGAUGUGCCAUACGUGACAAUAGAGUCUAUGAAAGAUGGUUCACAACGUUUCUCCUUUGACAGCAGUGAUCUUAUAAUCAUCUGCAUGAUCUCUGCUCAAGUAAGAUAAUGUGAUUUCAGGGAAAAGACACGGCCAUUGGGCACUACUGGUUGAGGCCUGGCUCUGCUUCUGCAGUGAACAUGGGCCAGAUACAUGGCUUUCCCGAAUCUCCAUUUUCAAGUGGUUAAAUGGUGAUUAUGUAUUUACUUCCAGAGUUGUUGUGAGAAUUAAAUGAGAUUAUGUAUGUUAAAUUUCCGAGUGUUCAAUAUAUGUAAAUUACCUUUCUCCCUGACAUAUCUUAGGGAUAGAUCAUCAAAAAUGCAGAAUACAGAAACAUUCAUGCUCCCCCCUUAAUUUUUAAGCUUAUUAAUUCCCCUUCAAAUAAAAUGACUUAAAAAGUGUAUUGAAUGAUAACAUUGUUAUAAUAAUGAGUGGUUUUUCUUUGUCUAGUCAAGGGACAUAAUCUGAUAUAAAAAGCCUUCAUUAAUAUAUCAUUUCAUAUGAUAUUGAUAGCAGAAUACGGAAAAUUUUUUAAAAAGUGCAGGAGGAAACAACAUAAGGGACUAAGAAGAGUGUCAAAUUCUGUUCUCAGGAAUCUAAAAUCCUCAGCUUCUAUUUUGGAACUCUGAUGGCUUUUCUCCAUGCUGUUAUGGGGAAAAUGGUUUGACUUAAAAGCCAUCGACUCACGGCCAAUGUAGAGAAACAUGGCCAGUACAUUCUUCUCCCAUGGGAUUCACUUAGGGGUGCAGUUCUCAGAGAUCCCAAAAUGCCUUUUCUUAAAUGCAUGGGGGAAAAGCCAGUGACACGGCCAACUGUGGCCUGUGUAAUGCAUCACCCUGCUAAACCAAAUGCUGACUGAUGGAAGAUUUCAAUUUUAGUUGUGGCACUGCUUCCAAGGAUUAAAGGCUCAAGCUGGAAUUGAGUCAAUGACAAAAUGAUUUACUAGGAGGUAAGCUCUGUGAUGGCCAGGACCCUAUCGGUCAUGUUCUCCACAGAAUGCCAUAGAAUAGGUCCUGGAAUACUGCUAAACAUAUAGUAGGUGCCUUAUUUCUGAUUAUGGGUAGGAAAAAAAUGAAAGAAUAAACUAUUUUUAAAAAACUGACUUUCACACUCUGGUGUAUGAAAUUAUAGAAACCAAAAAUGUGUAAUGCCUUUUUAGUUUAUGUUGACCCUAAGGUAAUCUUACCAAAUUCCAUAAAACAUAGCUAACAAUGGCAUAAAAAAAAAUGGAGUGGACUGCUACAUAUUUAAUGCAAUAAAAGAGACAACAUAUAGUGAAAUAGGGUCUAUAAUUUUAAAAACCAGUAAUAGUAAUUAGUGCUCACUGAAUCUACUAGACCACACAAUGGUCUGAAUUGUUUUAUGUAUAUAAUUUCACUAAGCAAUAGUCCUACAUAGAUGUGUGGAUCAAGCAUUGUAGGGUAGUUAAGUGGCUGAGGACAGAUUUAGAGGGUAAACAGCCUGCGUCUAAAUUAGACCCUGGCAUUUAGCUGCCUCUGGGCAAGCUGUUUUACUUCUUGGUUUCUCAGUGUCCUUAUCUGUGAAAAGAUGAAAAUAACAGUGCCUAUCUCACCUGGUUGUUGUGAGGAUUACAUGCAUAAUUGAUCCUAGGUCAGAAUGAGGCAUGUAACAUCUAUCCACCAUCUCUCUGUCUCUCUCUCUGCCUCUUUCUCUUUCUUGUUCUUUUCCUGUCUAUCUGUCUUCCUGUCUGUCUCUCUCACUUGAACAGCACAAUGCCUGGUGCAAAGAAGGAUCUGGGUAAAUUUUAGCUAUCACUGUGUAUUACUUUUAUCUCCUUAUUUUGCAGAUGAGGAAACCGAGGCACUGAGAAGUAACUUGCUCAGGAUCACACAGCAGGUAGGUAUUAAAACAGUUUGGAAUCCAGCCAGUGUAAUGGUAGAGUUUCUGCCAAAGCAUCCUUACUGAAAAUGUAGUUAAUUCACUCUUAGUAGUAAACUGCGCCUAGCAUUUAUUCAAUGAUUUUCAAAUGACACUUUGACACUCUUUGACUAGCACAUCAUUUCAAAGAUUUCUGAUAAAGAAGUACAGGUGUUUCUGGAGUUUUGUUAAAAAAAAACAUGCUAUUAUUAACAGCUGCCUUAUUAAUUUUAAGACUCAACACAUUAGAGAAUGAUUGCUAUUUUCUAUAAUUUAGUUUUCAAAAACUGGUAAUAACUAAAAAUAAACCUCAUCUCAGUGAGAUCAGCUUUAUAUUCACUUGACACUAUAAGUCCCUCAAUGUUCACACCCACCUGAGGUGAUAGGCCCCCACAACAGUUGUAAUUUAGGAUGCAGAUUCCAUAUGGUACAAGGAGGUGGUGGGGUUAUCUUAGUGUCUGUGGAAGAGAUUGAUGCUUUUGAAAACAUCUGAACCACACUUUUAACUAGAAAAAUAAUAAUAAUGUGGAAUGAUAACAUGUAUUACAAACAAUGCAGACUGUAUUUAAGAGUAAAGGAGAAGAUCAUUUGUUUAAAUGUCAAAUUGCCUCUUUAGUCCCAUUCAUGGUAUGAUCAUGAAAAAGACAAAAAAAAUCAACUAAUUUCCAAAUCGCCCCUCAGAGUAGUUUAACUUUUUUGUGUGUGUGUCUUUUUAGGGCCACAGCCACAGCAUAUGGAGGUUCCCAAGCUAGGGGUUGAAUCAGAGCUGUAGCCGACAGCCUAUGCCACAGCCACAGCAAUGCCAGAUCCGAGUCGUGUCUAUUACCUACACCACAGCUCACAGCAAUGUUGGAUCCUUAACCCACUGAGUGAGGCCAGGGAUCGAACCUGUGUCUUCAUGGCUACUAGUCAGAUUCGUUUGCGCUGAGCUACAAUGGGAAGUCCCCAGAGUAGUUUAACUUCGUAAGUUUAAACAGCCUGUGAAAACCUGGCCAAGUGUUUCAAAGAUACUGUUUAUAAAGUGAAAAGUUUAUUUUCUAUUAAAAAUAACAUCCAUCUUCCUUCCUGAAAUCAACUAAAUAGGCUUCUGCACUGUGGGCCAAAGGCUGAAGGGAUUAAAUUUUUGGCUAAUUUAACUGGUCAUUUCAGCACUACAUGCUGCCUCUCCUGCAGGCAUUCCAUAUCAUUGUGUUGUUCCUACAUAGGCCCAGUGAACAUGUGAGAAAAACUACUUUGAAGAAACCUGUGGCGUUCCCAUUGUGGCUCGGUGGAAAUGAACCCGACUAGGAUCCGAGAGGAUGUGGGUUUGAUCCCUGGCCUCACUCAGUGAGUUAAGGAUCCUGCAUUGCCAUGAGCUGUGGUGUAGCCUGGAAGCUGCAGCUCCAAUUUGAUUCCUAGCCUGGGAACUUCCAUGUGCUGCAGGUGUGGCCCUAAAAAAAAAAAAAAAGCAAAACAAACAAAAAAACCCCAUAUAUUUCUACUUGGAAAACUGAGGUGUAUUUUUAUUUUUAUUUUUGUCUUUUUGCCUUUUCUUGAGCCACUCCCAUGGCAUAUGGAAUUUCCCAGGCUAGGGGUCCAAUCGGAGCUGUAGCCCCCGGCCUACGCCACAGCCACAGCAACGCGGGAUCCGAGCCGCGUCUGCGAUCCACACCACAGCUCACGGCAACACCGGAUCCUUAACCCACUGAGCAAGGCCAGGGAUCAAACCAGCAACCUCAUGGUUCCUAGUCGGAUUCGUUAACCAUCUGUGCCACCACGGGAACUCCUAAAAUUGAGAUGUACUUUUGAAGCUUCAAAUCUAUAGUCAAAAUUUCCCUCAAUAAUCUGAAAAGUUAGAAGGCAGCAUACCAAAUGCAGAAUCUCUCUGCAACUGAGGUUAUGAUUUCUUUAUUAUCUGUCAAUCUCUUUAAUUUUUUACUGGCAAAAUAUAUUUUUGAGCCUUUUAUGGAUGUCUACAUGACAGCUACAGGGCUGUGGUGUCAAGAAUGACUCCACUUCUUGAUUUUUAUAAUUAUAAAAUCCUUGAUGCAUUUUGGUCAUGUACAGAGUAAUUAUAGAUUAAUUGUAUUAACACAAAUUUAUGUAGAACAAGAGAAACAGGUUUAUUUAUUUAUUGUUUUACAGUCAAAUCGGAGCUACAGCUGCAACUUCUGCCACAUCCACAGCAGCACUGGAUCCUUAACCCACUGAGCCUGGCUGGGGAUCAAACUUUCAUCCUCACGGAGGCAACAUUGGUUCCUUAACCCGAGGAGCCACAAGAGGAACUCCAAAAUAGAUUUAAUUUUAAUACUCCACAUAAAUUAGUGAAUAACUAUACAUUUUGAAAAUGAGCGAUUCUGUAAGUGGAAAAUAAACCCUUGCUUUGAAAUAAAUCACAUGAUACUGUUAGGUUAUCAGCAAGACAAAACAACUUUUUGUAGGUAUUGUGAUAUUUCCCCCAAAUAUUUCCAGUGCAUCAUGGGACAUAGAGGAAAAAUAAAUAAAGAAAAGAAAGAAAAGGGAAUAAAGAGAAAGAUACUGCCUAGUGGAAGGAAAAAGUACUUAUAGAAACCUACCUUAGUCUAGACACGGGAUAAGCAUCUCAUUUUAGCCUCACGACAACCUUAGAAAACAGGGACUUUGGAAUUCGUGUCCCA
rnacentral:lncRNA from 1 species